GCUGAUAUAGUUUCUCUAAAAAAUAAUGAAGGCAUUAGUUACAUACAUGUUGCUGGUAAUGGGUUUCUUGUUGCUAAUGCAUAUUGAUCCAUCUGUAUCAACGGCAAAUCCUAGAUUUGACACAAUGCUCAGAGGUAAGCAGCAAACGCCGCCGCCACCAAUCCCCGGUGGAUCGCAUCACCAAGGGACCCCUAAGACUCCAAGUACCCAAAACCGACCACCACCACCAUCACCAUUACCAACUCCGCCUAUAUCUGGCCCACAUUUUCCGCCGUUGUGCUCACCACCACCACCACCACCACCACCACCGGCUUAUUAAUUAUAUUAUAAGUCAAAAUCAAGAUGGUUAAUGUUUGUGCCUCAGUUUUGUUGGGGAGAUUAGUCACGAUUUAUCAAAUAAUUAAACUUUAUUUGAUAUUUGGUAUCUCAAUAACUUGUUGGGUCGACCUGCAAAUAUUAUGUUAUCAUGGUUCCGAGGUCCAAUAAUACAAUUAAGUUUCAUUAGAUUAUUUAUGUGGUGUUUGCAAAUGAUUAUUUAAAAGCAGAAGUUAGUGAUUGUGAUUUAAGUUAGUUUUAAGUGCUUAUUUCUAAAAGUUGGGGGUGUUUGCAAAUAUUUCGGAAAAUGAACUAAAAUUGAAAAAGCAGGGUUAGGGGUGCUUUUAAAAAAGGGUUAAUAUGUUAGAAGUCCCUUAAACCAAACCUAAUUAGAUAUAGAAUACAACCCUAAUAUUUUUUUAUGAACUAAAUCCCUCAUUCUCUGAUAAAUUUUAAAGACAUGCCAUUUUUUUAUUUUAUCCCAAGACUGCCCUUACGGUAACAGUUAUUGGGAAUGGAAACAUAUCACGUUCCUUCUCUUUCCUCUAUCUCUCUCCCAAUUCUUCUCCACAACCUAUAUUUCUCCUCGCCUCUUUCUCUCUCCCUCUCCUGUAGAUUUUUAUUUUCCCGUUUUUUCUCAUCCAUCUAUUUUUUUUCGCUUCUGGUUUCUUUUUUAUGAUUCUUCUCCACCACUAUUCAACAUUAAAUCAUGUCGCGUAACCCAGGCUUGGUCCGUAAAUUUUUAAUUCUCGCAAUUUCUAAUUUUAUGCCAUAUUAAUGAAUCCCAGUUUGAUACUGAUUUGUGGAGGUGCAUAAUUAAGUCUUCUACAGUAAUGUGCUUGAAUAAAACUUGGAUCUGUUGUGUUCGACACUAGUGGACUGUGCGUAUUGUGAAAUCAGGUAUAACCAUUCACAAUAAUUUUGAUAUUAUUUUUUAGGGAUUCGAUGUGCAGCUAUUGAACUUUGUUUGGUUUAUUGAGUGAGUUGAAGUCUCGAAGUGCAUCUUCUGGACUUUUUGAAUUUUCGUAAGAUGUGAAUUAUGCUUACAUAUUGGUAUUGUUAAUGAUUUAUUAUUGAUCAUAUAUGUGUUUGCUAAUUGCAUAUUCAUGAAAGUCUGAGUUAUUGUAUGUGAACGCUUUAAGUUUUAGUUUGAUCGUGUGUAUACAUAAUCACAAAACUUAUUGUUAUUGUUGGAAUACCAGGACAGAGUAUAUUAUAGUCAUCUUUAUGCUUACCAAAUAUUCAUAGUCUAUUAUAGUGUACGUAUAUGUCUUUGUGUUGUUUGUUUAGAGGAUUAUAAGAUUAUGUGUUAGGAUUAGAAACGAUUAUUUGUAGAUGUUAUUUACAGGUUGUCAUAUACAUGGACUUGGAUCUGCUUCGUUGUGGAUCGUAAUUGCGUUUGGAC
rnacentral:lncRNA from 1 species